AUGUACGACACGUACACCCCGCUUUACUCCGCAUCGUCCGUAUCCGCCUGACAGCCACGCUCUAAGUCUUGUCAGCC
rnacentral:sRNA from 1 species